CUAGGAUGUUUUAAAAAUAGAAAGAAGCACUGCCUUUGCUCUCCAAGAGGCUAUAAUCUAUUAUUCAAGAUGUUUUCAAAAUUUUUGAAGAGAAAGCCACAUAGAACCUGAAAAGUUAGUCGCUCAGUCAUGUCCAACCCUUUGUGACCUCAUGGACUGUAGCCCUCCAGUCCCUUCUGUCCAUGGAAUUAUCCAGGCAAUAAUAUUGAGUGGUUUCCAUUCCUUUUCCAGAAACAUGUAGUAGUAAGACAUAAAACCAAUGCUUUGGAAAGAUAAAAUUAAGGAGCAACAAAAAUGGUUAGAAAAAAGGAGACCAGCACCCAGUACUGGCGCCCGCCGCGCCCCUGGCCUGGAUGUGGGAGGCGAAGGCAGUGAGCAUUUCCUGGGCGGUGAGGUGUGUGCUGUGCAUAAUCAAAUGACGCCUGUCUCUGAACAGCACGGCCAAGUAGAAGGAAAUAUAUACGAAAAAUUCCAUGCAUGCAAACUAAUUUUUGCUAUUCUUUUCUUUAAGUAUAUUCACCUUCUAUUUUUCUAUUGAUAAUAUUUCUAAACCUAUUAAAAUAAUUGAGCAUGUCAAAUCAUGAUCUAUACUUAGACUUAUCCUUGAAGACAUAUGUAUGUAAUUUUCACAAAGGAAAUAUGGUAACAAUUUUAUAUAAUUGAUGAUAAGUGUUUCAAAUAAUUUAUUUUGUGCAUUUAAAUUUUUCUACAAGUGAAUGUUAGAUAUAUAGUAGAAUCC
rnacentral:lncRNA from 1 species